GACUCGGUGGCGGACUGACGCAUCUGCUCUCUGAAAACAGAUAGAAACCAACAUCCAAGCAGAAACUCCCCGUUCGACUCGGGGCCGGGUUG